CAUACUCAUUCUUUAGUCUUCAGACUUCCUCUCUUUCACCUAUUUUCUUCUCCUUUUCUCUUUUAUGUACCUUAUUGUCGUCACGAUCUCACUUUCUCGUUCCAAACAAAUUUUUUCCCCUGGUAGCGUAGAAAGUGAAAGAAACUGGAGGUAGGAAGACGAGGCUCUUGUGUCUCAUCUAUGGUGGCGUCUUCCCGGAGUGGAAUCUAGGGCGCAGCGGAAGCCAUAGGCUUGAAAGAAGGGGAAGUGAAAGGCGGAGGACUUUUGAGUUUUAUUGGCCGAGAGGCUAGGGCACGGUGUGAUUUGGUUCGAUCUCAGUGUGGAAACUCGGGGAAUCAACUUUGUGUGUAGUGGUUUUGUGGUUGUGGGAUUUUGGAAACCUUAGAUUUGGGUCAAGGUUGUGUGGUUGGCUGAUUAAGCUAGGGGCGGGGCUGCCCAUGCGAUUGACUGGGUUUUCAUGCCGUCAAAACCACUGCCUUGGGAUCGGAAGGACUUCUUCAAGGAGAGGAAGCACGAGAGGUCGGAGUCUUUAAGUUUGCUGCAAGAUAGAGGACUUGCAUCAGGGUUCUUGGGAGUUUGCUUGUCGAGAUCGGCAGACUUGCGCCGCCCUACAGGUGAGAUGAAUCCCACUGGGUUCUUGAUGAUGUCGGUUUUGGUUUAAACCAAGAAAAAUAAUCGGGUUCUUGGAAAAUUUGGUCUUCGAGCCCUUUUGUUUUUUAUGAUUUGUUCCUUUUUGGUUUUUAAUUUUGAAUUUAUUCUCUGCACGGAAGAAGCACGAGAGGUCGAAGCCUUUAGGUUUGCUGCAAGAUAGAGGGACUCGCAUCAGGUUCUUGGGAGUUUGCUCGCCAGGAUCGGUAGACUUUCGCCCUCUUACAGGUGAGUUAUGAAUCCGGGUUCUUGAUGAUUGUGAUGAAAUUCGUAGGUUUUGGUUUAAACCAAGAAUAAUAAUAGGGUUCUUAGAAAAUUUAGUCCGAGUCCUUGUGUUUUUUUUAUUUAUUUUAUUUUUUUAUGAUUUGUUCUUUUUUGGUUUUUGAUUUUGAAUUUAUUCUCUCCACGGGUCUGAUUCUUUGUUUUAGGGAAUUAGUUUUUGAUGAUGAUUCUUUCAUGGUUAUUGUAGAUCUGUUUUUUUUUUAGUCCAUUUGUUUGUUAAUGUGCUGUUUAGUUGUGUAGAAAUUGUUUUUAUCUCUUUUAAGUCAAGUAAAACUACCUGUAAUAAGAAAGUUCUAGGUUUUAAAUUUUUGAAGUUUCAUCGUGUUCUUUGGUAUUUUGAUUUACUAUGAACUCAUUUUGUAUGAAUAUAGGCUAUAGUUAUUACUGUUUCUGGAAAGGCUUGUUUGGUUCAUGAUUUUUUUUCUUGGCUUACCUUACCUACAACUAAACUAUUGAAUGUUUAAUAUCUGAAGUUGUGAUGCAUAAGCCACAUUUCAUUUAGGUUUUUUAAAUUUACAGUAUCAGUGACGUUCAUUGAAGGCACCACUUUAGGUUAAUAGUCAACUUUUAACAAGUUAUUAAUUCUAUGGAGUUAAGUACUUUUUUCAGUUGAAUUUUUGGUUAUUAGUAUUUUACCUAUUAAAUUUCUUAUUAUGAAAAUUUGGUUUUAUUAUUUCUAUUUAAAUCUAAUGAGAAAUUUGUUUUGUGAAUAUUUUUUUAGCUAUCUUGAGUUUGCUUAGGGAGAUUUCUUGCUGCAAAAUGUUAGAGAAUUGUGUCAGUCCAAUUGAAAUUUUGUCAUGAAAACCCAUAAAGGUACAAAACAGAGGGAAAAAAAACAAAAUUCAAAAGUACUGUUGACAAAUGACGAAUAUUUUUUCUUUGUUCAUAAAAUAGAUUUUCUUAUAGACUAGGAAAUGCAUUUAUAUUUUUUCCUUUUAUUAUUAACCUUCUUUGGCCAAUUAUAAAUCUAUGACACGGAUUUUACCAACCAAAGUUCUUAAAAAAUCACUGUAAAGGGGGCAUUUUUAUUAGACAUUGCCUAUAUGAAUUUAACUGUAUUUGGAAAGAAAUUGUUAAAUUUUGAAUUCUAUUGUUAAUCAAUCCUUGGUUUGUAAUAAUGUUGUUGUUUGUGAUUUUAUUGUUUUCAAGAGAUGAGUUGGAGUGAAGUCAUCAAAAAGCUAUAAAAAUCUAUUCUUUUUUCCUCCUCAACAUUGUCCCCAUAUGAGUGUCUAAUGUUGGUGUCAAUAACAACUCCAAGGUACUCUUCCUUUUUAUGUUAUGUGCCUGAGUGUGUCUAAUUGGUCACUUCUAAUUUAGUAAAGUAUUUUCAUCGUGGAUUUAAGCAAUGCUGAGUUGUUGGAAGAAAGAGCCUAUACACUCAUGGAAUUGGGAUCCAUAGAGGGUUUGCCUACUCAACAUAAUAGCUAAUUCAUUAGAGAUAACCUUUUGAUGCUCUUUGGGUCAUCAGACCCAGUUGAAAAUUACUUUUCUUUCAUUGUAAAGUAUGUUGUAUAGUUAGUUUGAUAUUUUUAAAUUUGAUUGUUCAUGUGUAUAUUUGUAAAUUGGAUUUUGUAGGAAUGCAUUCUCUAGGUUUGAGAAUGCAAUACUGUUGAAAAAUUCAGGGACAAAAGAUACUCUCUGUCGUAUAAUUAGGACAUGUGCCACCAAAUGCCACUACAUGGCGCACUCAUAUGCAUCAAUAUACACCAGAUGCACAACUAUGACUGUUAUAACACCCCCAUGGGUGAUUCAAAGGACCAACCUAAAAGACCGAGUGAAGGACACUGUUAGUGCCAAAAGUAUUAGGCGCUUUCUUGUGUAGUUCAUUGACUAGCUUCCAAAGUUGAUUUCAACCAAUAUUGGUAUCUUGGUCAUAAACUUCUUAGGAGAAUAUUAGAAGAUGGGGAAUGCUCUUGUUGGUGUGUUGGGAAAAUUAAUUUUGUAGGUCUUUGAGGAUGUUGAGGGUAAAGUGAGUUCAAAAUCUAUUCAGCUUUGAACCAAGCAAGCCAAAAUGGCCCAUUUGAUCUUAGGAAAACUCACAAAAAAUGAGAGUGUCAUUUGCAAACAAGAAAUGCGACACCUCUUACCCUUCACCACUUUUCCCCCUCACACUAACUUCUAUAAGAGAUUCACCCUCCCUAGCUCUCUUGACAGGGUAGCUAAGGGCUUCCAUUGCAACAACAAAUAAAUAGGGAGACAAGGGGUCCCCUUGCCUUAAGGCCUUGGAGCUUUGGAAGAAACCAAAAGGGAUACUAUUAGAAAUCACAAAAAACCUUGGAGAAGAUAUGCACUAUUUAAUACAUCCUACCUAUUUUCGACCCAAAUUCAUCUUUUCAAGAACCGAGAUCAAGAAAUUCUAGUUGGCAUGGUCAUACAACUUUUUAAUGUCUAACUUACACAAUACUCCAUAAACAUUGCUCUUCAAUAGAGUUUAUUGCUUCAUUUGUUAUUAGCACUGCAUAAAAAAAUUGUUUAGCCUCUACAAAAACAUUCUAGUUGGCAUGGUCAUACAACUUUUUAAAGUCUAACUUACACAAUACUCCAUAAACACUGCUCUUCAACAUAGAAUCUAUUGCCUCAUUUGUUAUUAGCACCACAUAAAAAAAUUGUCUAGCCUCUACAAAAACAUUUUGGGAAUUGGAGAUCACCUUGGCCACUACCUUCUUUAGCCUCAUUGCUAAAACUUUCACUAGGACUUUAUAUAAACUGCCUACUAGGCUAAUAGGUCUAAAGUCUUUUAAAUCCUAUUUAGAUGUUAAUCUAUCAUGAAAGAUAAGAUUUGAUGAUUGAUGAUGAGGAAUUCAAGGUUCAUGUGGUUUCUUCUACAAGAGUAAAGGCACUUUUGUUGGAUUUAUGCAUUGCAGACAACAAGAACAUGAAAAGUUAUUUUCAUACUGCAUCUAAAUAGAUUGUUAGGAAAUUCAUUGAUUGGUCAUACUUCAGUAUUUGAGCAAAUCAAACCUUUGGUAUUAAAAAUCGUCAAGGCUUCAUUUGUUGCACCGAAAACUUCCAGCUUUUGAUACAAGUCACUAGGCUAAUUGAAUAAGGACAACUUUGUGACUUUAAUUGGAUUGUUUAAAAUUGCAAAUUGGAAGUACAUCCAUCCUAGUGUUCAACUUCACUUUAAUGGGAUAAUUCCAAAUUGCAUGUAGGAAGUACAUCAAGUGGUUCACUGUGAGGUAAGCUCCAUUUUAGUCAAGAUUACAUUUUCAUUAAUUAGAAUAGGAUGUUAUGAACAUUUGGUUUCGACAUUGUGUAAUGUUAUGUCAAGGCAUCUACUAUGGGAUUUUGAUAUGUUUUCAUUUUCAUGCUACCUUAUUCAUUCAUAUUGAAUUGUAAAACACAAGUGGUGGCUAGACUACUUCUUUGUCUCAGAAUCCAUAGCUAGCAAGGUUCAUAUCUCAGACAUUCUCCCUGACAUUGGUGGCAACAGUCAUUGUCCAAUUGGCCUCAUUCUCAAGCUCUAGUUUUGCAAACAAUAACAUAUCCAAUUGUUGAUGACAAUUUGGAUUGGGUGUUUCAGUGAUCAACGCAAAAUCACAACAUGAAAAUAAAUUUUGAUGGUGGAAAAUAGUGAAACUUGUGCAGAGGAGAAAUCAAAAGGAAUCUUGAAGAUUUAUUUUUGAAAUUUACAAAGUCUCAAAGACCAUAAGAUUCGAAUGGCGGAAAAUCUUUGGGAUUGGACUCUCUAGCAACUGUUUUUGAGCCCUGCCAUGUACUGGAUGUUCAAAGUUUAGUAGGUUUGAGGUUUUUGGAGGUUGCAGCUCUUUUUGUCACUUGAUUCCUCCUAAAUGCUACCAUUGAGAUGUCUUAACUCUUAUGAGUUGUAGCUAUAGCUGUGGCGGGAACUGUGAGCACUUAAUGAAAUCAUUUAAGUGUGCAUGAUUUAUGGA